UUUCGGCCAAAUACAACACUUACUCUUUAAUGGAUGACAAAACAGACAAGAUUGUGCACUUUGAAUUGGUGCAGAUUUUGAGAGAGAGAUCGACUGGAGACCGCCAACUGUGAGUAACAGAAAAUCAGCAACUAACCUCGAAUGUUUACAUGUUAAAGGAGAGUGUAACCCAUUUCUAAGCGGCCCCACUAGAUGUGUGCAGCAGGUGGGCGAGCCUAGAGGUGUGUGUAUUGAGAGAGAGAUCGACUGGAGACCGCCAACUGUGAGUAAUAGAAAUCGACCACUAAUGUUGAAUGCUUGUAUGUUAAAGGAGAGUGUAACCCAUUUCCAAGCGGCCCCACUAGACGCGUGCAGUAGGUGGGCGAGCCGAGGGGUGUGUAUUAACUUACUCUGGACUGUGAGAGUUUGCCAUCAGGUUGAGACGCUGUGCUGCGUGGCCCGUACCAGUCAACCCCGCUACCCAGGGCCAGGUCCACCUGGAGAGGAGUACGGACCCUAAUUUAUUCACUGGAGUGUGUGCUGUGCAACGAUUGAGUGAUUGAAUCUGACGAGUUGCUUGUGAAGUGGAACUCCAUUCUUUACCACAUAGUAGGUGUGCACAGUUGGAUUGAAGAAGGAAAUACGAAAAAAUGUGACCACAACGAUCUCAGUCCUGAACAGCAACGGAAAAAGAAAUGGCUUCAGAAAGAGUCACAUGCCUACCGCACACUAGAAGGCCUUGUCCUGGAUUAAAGGCUUCUUAAUGAUUUGAGGAAGUUGGCUCUUUUUAAACACACUGGAGAACUUGAGGUGUUCCAUUCUGUCUUGCUGAAGUACUGCUCAAAGAGCCUCCACUUUCACUAUACUUCCAUCGUUGCAAGAGCACAGCUAGCUGUCCUUGACCAUAAUGAAAAUGUAGGUCGUCAGCAAGCCGCAACAAUUACUGGAGUACCUCGGUUCAACAUUGUCUACCCAAAACAUACCAAAGAAUGGAUUGCCAAAGUGAUUUACAAACCCACCACUCAAAACUUCAGAGAGACUCUGCUGGAGAAAGUUCUACUCCGGCGACAGAACCCCAGCAUUGUUUUCAAGGACAGUUCUUCUCAUUUAAGUCAAGCUGCAUUGCCACAGAACAUAGCGCUAAAACCAAGGCCUGACAAGCAGGAAGUAAUUGCAAAGCGCUUAUCAAGAUUUGGAAGGGGUCCAAUGUAAAAUGUUAUUGUUACUGUUUUUUUGUGUUUUGUUACAGGUUUUUUGUUAUUGAGGGAAAAUGAAAUAUACCUUGGGUAAAAAUAUUUUUGUUUUAGUGUAAAUAUUCAGUCCCAACGACUGUAGUUCUCUCAAUGUUUUUUAUUCUUCUAUGUAAAUGUACAUGUAAGACAACAAAAAAAUGUAAGACAACAAAAAAAGAGUUUACAGUGUUGGUGUAUAUACAACAGUAAAUUACAGAAUAUGAUGAUGAUAAAACUACAGUUAGGUGCUUACAAAAGAUCAAAAGCAUCUUCUGCUUCCCUGAAGCCCACAUAAUGUCCUGAUGGAGAUGGGUAAGAAUCCCUAAUGGCACUGACAACACAAGAUCGAAGAAUCUUCCUGUUUCCUCUUCCUAAUCUCUCUUCGUUCAGCAUCCACUCAAGAACCAACCUGUACGCCACCAGCCUGUAUUGACUAAAUUAAAAGAAAUGUGUCCAGUUGAUGUGUAAAUACAGUCAAACAUGUAGUAAUCACACAAAACGGGAUACUUACUCUGCUGUUAGGGUGCCGCCAGGUCCUUGUGGCCUCGGACGGCGUCUCCAGUUUAUUCUGGGCAAACGGAAAAACACUUCCAAAACAGUGUUGUUCAGUAACGCAGAAAAACCACUGUGUUCCGUGAUGCAGCUUGAAACAGACGUCGCACCGGGUGACUCUCUGAUUCGUUCUAACGGUGGCAUAAAUAUGGUCCAUUCAUGACAGCAUUGGCAUUCUUGCUCCGUUGGCAGUGGUUGGCACUUAGUACAGGUACACCACCACGUCUCGUUUGAUUUUCGUCUGACUAUGGCUUGAGAUAAUCGUGUCGCCGACUCGCCGUUGCAGUCUCUCCUCCAUCUGUCUGAGUUCAUCGUCUGUGUACUCUGGCUCAAAAAGGUAUGGUACGGCGAAAAACUCCAUGUCAUUAUCAUCUCUUACUUCAAAAAAAUCCUCCGACAUCGUUGUUGUACUUUUCUGUUACUCAACUUCUGAACGGUACUUCUCAACAAUUGUAAACACUAACGUUAGCGGUAGUUCGCGCAUACGUCAAGCGUAACCUUUGGACGUCAUUACGUAAUGCGUAAGGUCGUGAACGCGCAUCGCUCGGCAACGGCAAGACGCAAAGUUGCCGUUAUAAAGUACACAUUAUUUUUAUUUUAUUUUUGAAAAUGUGGGUGUUUCGCUAGA